CUCGGAGUGGACCCUGGACUCUGGCAUGAGCAACAGGACCCCUGGUGCAGGGCAGCUCCUGGGACAUCCCCAAGUCAGGGCUCAGCUUCAUCAGACGGGGAUGCAGUGGGCACCUCCGCUUUCAUGCCCCUGGCCAUGAGGGUUGAAUGUGUGGCGACACAGAGUUUUCUGGGGGGACAGUUCUCCAGGCUGCUGAGCCUGCUACUGUGGAAAAGGAUGAGGCUGGCAGGGAUGACACCCAGGCAGGGCUUGACCAUCAGCCCCUUGGGGAGCCAGGCUCUCCUUUCUGAGGGGCCAAGUAGAGAUUCCUCUCUUCCGUAAUAGAUCCAACACUGCCACCCCCAACCUUCCUGACAUGUAAACUUCUCCACCCUUGAUGUCUGUACCACACCUUUGCACUCUUCCCCACCAUCUUUUCAUGCCAAAGGACAUGUUUUAUCUCCUUCCAAGAAAUGUAGACUCUUCAAGGUUUUAUGUCAUCUUACAUUCCACGUUAUUGGUAUAGCUAAUGGAGUCAUCGAAUGCUGUUCUUUGAGUACCAAGAUGUCACCAGUAACUGACUGCCCGUAAAACAUGCACUAUGUGCUGUUUCUCUGACUGGAAGGAUAUAUUUUACUAAUUCAUCACUAAGUAAGGUUCCUCAGGUCAACAGGAGCCUCAGGACGUAAUCAGCGCAGUUUCUGCUACAUUAGCAAGUACUCAAACGUGAUAGCUGUUACUGUUUCUACAACUGUUAUUUGCAGUUGAGUGAGGAUUUGUCCAAGGAAGUUUGAGGGGAUUACCUGAGUCUCACACAGCCAGUGAGAUCAUGAGAAACGAGGUCUCUCUGAUUCUCAGGCAGUGCCUUUCCAUUCUAAAAUGGUGGCUUUCCGGGCAAGAAUAUUCAAUGGCCAAGAACCAAGGAAAAAAACCAGAGCUCCAUGUGGCUAGCCAAGAUGAUGGUAAGGAUGCACCCAUAUA